rnacentral:rRNA from 1 species
GAUGAACGCUGGCGGCGUGCCUAAUACAUGCAAGUCGAGCGAACAGACGAGGAGCUUGCUCCUCUGACGUUAGCGGCGGACGGGUGAGUAACACGUGGAUAACCUACCUAUAAGACUGGGAUAACUUCGGGAAACCGGAGCUAAUACCGGAUACUAUAUUGAACCGCACGGUUCAAUAGUUAAAGACGGUUUUGCUGUCACUUAUAGAUGGAUCCGGGCCGCAUUAGCUAGUUGGUAAGGUAACGGCUUACCAAGGCGACGAUGCGUAGCCGACCUGAGAGGGUGAUCGGCCACACUGGAACUGAGACACGGUCCAGACUCCUACGGGAGGCAGCAGUAGGGAAUCUUCCGCAAUGGGCGAAAGCCUGACGGAGCAACGCCGCGUGAGUGAUGAAGGUCUUCGGAUCGUAAAACUCUGUUAUUAGGGAAGAACAAAUGUGUAAGUAACUAUGUACGUCUUGACGGUACCUAAUCAGAAAGCCACGGCUAACUACGUGCCAGCCGCCGCGGUAACAC